rnacentral:rRNA from 1 species
UACAGAGGGUGCAAACGUUGCUCGGAAUUAUUGGGCGUAAAGCGCGUGUAGGCGGCUUGUUAAGUUGGUUGUGAAAACCCAUGGCUCAACCAUGGAAGGGCGUCCAAAACUGGCAAGCUAGAGUCCCGACGAGGAUGGCGGAAUUCCCAGUGUAGAGGUGAAAUUCGUAGAUAUUAGCUAGAACACCAGUGGCGAAGGCGGCCAACUGGUCCGGUACUGACGCUGAGGUGCGAAAGCGUGGGGAGCAAACAGG